rnacentral:rRNA from 1 species
UACGUAGGGGGCAAGCGUUGUCCGGAAUUAUUGGGCGUAAAGAGCUCGUAGGCGGUCUGUCGCGUCGGUCGUGAAAACCUGCAGCUUAACUGUGGGCGUGCGGUCGAUACGGGCAUGACUGGAGUUCGGCAGGGGAGACUGGAAUUCCUGGUGUAGCGGUGAAAUGCGCAGAUAUCAGGAGGAACACCGGUGGCGAAGGCGGGUCUCUGGGCCGAUACUGACGCUGAGGAGCGAAAGCGUGGGGAGCGAACAGG